ensembl:lncRNA
CACUAGGCCCUGCCGUGAUACCGUUAGAGGGGGAGGCUAUACCUGUGUAUGUUUAGCUACAAUAGUGUUUGCCCACUUAGACUAUCACCUCCCGCACGUAGUUCUAACUCACAAUGACGCAGUUACAAAGUUCUCGUGAUUCAGCAGCUUUCAACAAGUGCUAAGAAUUUGUGACCUCGCACCCGAAUCCGCGCCCCUCCCCCACCCGGGCUCCCUGGGGAAAGCCGCCGGAAGCUGGGCCCGGCCCCCAAACCAGAAAGCUGGGAGCGGCUUCUUUCUCCCUUACACAAAGCCCAACGUGCCCCGGAGGAGGGGGCGGCCGGAGCGCAGCGCCGCCCCCUGCGGCCCAUCCCCAGGCCUGCAGAAGGGCCCGGCCCGACGGCGCCGUCGGGCCCGCUCCGGACCUGAGCCCGCCUUCUCCCCGGUCCCGUGCACCCAGCACCCGAGCCCUACGUUCCGUGCAAUUAGGCCAACAGAUACUUUGCGGUGGUGCAACGGUCAUUCAGUUGGCUCAAUUGUCCGCCAGAAUCGGUGUUUUCUGGGGUUUUUUUAUCCUGUUUUCGUUGUGUGCUACAAAUGAGGGUUUGUGAGGGGGGAAAUUUUGAGAGCUUUACCCCUUGCCCCUUUCCGAAUUACUGUCGACAAAUUGUUGCCCACCCACAGGUGCACUUAUUUGAGAAGGGGAAAAAAGAAAAAAAAGAUAAAAGAACCACGAGAAAGGAGUGAAAAAGCAAUAAAAUGCCUAUUUGAUAGAAAAUACCCCGUCUAUCACCCUAGUUUAUUUAAGUCUACACGUGAAAGAAAGAAAUGUGAGGAAUAGUUAUCUUUUGACUUUUUUCCCUCAGAGACCAAAAACAUGGCAAUGUCUGAAUGCCCACAAAUUCACCAGUGCAUCUAGCUACAAAAGACAAUUCUAAGCAAGGUUAAUACUGAAGUGAAAUGAAAAUAAAACAAAACAAAACAAAAAAAAAGCUUUAAAAAAUAUGUUUUCACCUGCAACUGUCUGGAAGUGGAUAUCAGAAAUUGAAUGUAAAUCAAAGUACACUUUUUAAAAUUUUAUUUUUAUAGUUUUUUUAUAUGUUUCUUUCAGGGCUUUACUAAUAUGAAAAUUUUUUAGCCUAUGUCAAAUUGCUUGCCUUCUCAAGGACUGGGGAGACAAAGGAGGGAAAGAAUUUGGAAGACUUCAAAAUUUCAAAAGAUGAAUGUCAAAAAUUGUUUAUACAUUUAAUUAGGGAAAAUAGAAAAUAUUAACAUAAACAAAAGUUCUUAACAAAAAAUAAAUACUGAAGGGAAAUCAUUGAAGCUCCUGGGCUUUUGCAUUCACUCUCACACACUUAUUCUCCCUGCCAUAAUCCCUUAUUUUCUUUAGUUUUUUUUGUUUUGUUUUGUUUUGUUUGUUUGUUUUGUCCAGGGUCAUACAGCUAUUAAAUAUUAAGUCUCUGAAGUUGAGUAAGGACUGUGUCCUAUUCAUUGUGCCACAUAACCACUCCCUUAUUUUCAAUGGCCAAAAAAAAGUAUGCCUACUUUGAACUAUAAGUUCUAAUUUCCAGUUUCUAGAUCAAUACUAUUUAUCAUUUUAACAUAAGAUCCAUUUAUUCCUAUGCUUUCUAGUAUUUUUUACAGAAGUGAGUGCUUCAUGUUGCCAAAAGCUUUUUCUGCAUCUAUUGACAUGAUCAUGAUUUCUGCUAGUUUUAUACUUAUAUGGUCAAUUAUGAUGAUAGUUUUCCUAAUACAGAACUAAUACUGCAUUCCUGGUAUAAAUACCACCAGGUUUUAGUUAGCGUAUGAUCUUUUGUAAUUUCUUGUUGUAAUCUUUUUGGUAAUAUUUUAUUAAAUUUUUUUGCAUCAAUAUUAGGGAAAUUGAUCUGUAAUUUUCUUUCUCUAUUUUGUCUUUUCCUGGUUUAGGUAUCAAUACCAUAUUUGUGUCAUGAAAGGAAUUUGGCAGGAUUCCUUCCCCUAUUUUUCCAAACAGUUUACAAAUUGGAAUUAAUUUGAAAUUAAUUGUUCUCUAAAUGUUUGGUAGAAUUUACUUGUGCAUCCACGUGGCCCUGGAGUUUUUUCCUUAUGAAGUUCAUUAAUGGCUUGUUCAAUUUCUUUUUCUAAAAUGGGACUAUUUAAGUAAUGUAUUUCCUCUUCUGUUAAUCUGGGCAAUCUAUAUUUUUAUAGGUAUUCAUCCAUUUUAAUUAUACUGUCAGAUUUGUUGGUAUACAGUUAGGCAAAAUAGUUCCUAGUUAUUGCAUUAUUUAUUCAUUGAUGAUAAGUUCAUCCUUUUCUUUUUUGAUGCUGAUAAUUUGGUUUUUUCUUUCCAUUUUCCAAUCAAAUUAACCAGAGAUUUAUCUAUUUUGUUAUUUUUUUUUCAUAAAACCAACUCUUAGUCUUAUUGAUGUUAAUCUCUCCUUUGAGUUUCAGAAUUUCUAAUCUGAUAUUUAAUUGGGGGUUUUAAAUUUGUUCUUUUCCCAGCAUUUUUAAUUGUAUGCUCAAUUCACUGAACUCCUCUUUUUCUAUUUUAUUCAUAUAAUUAUUUAGAGAUAUAAAAUUUCCUCUAAGAACUUCGUUGGCUGCAUCCUAUAGGUUUUGCUAUGUUAUCUCAUUAUUGUCAUUCUCUUGAUGAAAUUAUUGUUUCUAUUAUUUGUUGUUUGACAUCCCCUUGUUAAGUGCUAAAACCCCUUUCCUUGCUAAAAAAACUCCAUAUGGGUUUAGCCUAUUCUUAGCAGCGUAAUAAAACCUUUUCCUUUUGAUUUGGAGAAAAUCUAAGCCUACAAAUUCUUUUGAGACACCUCAUGACACUGGUCUGAGACCCCAACAAUUUUGGGGAUAAUAUUUCUUCUCCCCAACAUUUGAUGGUAAACCCCAUCAUUUUGAUGGCUCAUAUGGGGAACAUUUUGACUGUACCCUUUAUUUUAUAAAUGUAACCCUAUGCAUGACACUCCUGUCAUUACAGUGAUGUAACUUAGGGAGCCCACCAGAAGUGAAAAGGUCCUCUAUUAAUUCUCCAUAGGCUCAUUUUUGAGUCUUUUAUUUUUUAUUUUGUUUUGGGUAAGUAAAAUUUACUUUGAUAUUAGAAAAUCACUUUCUAAUGUGAUUUUUGGAGUUAAAUUUCAGCAUUUCUAGACAAUAGACAAAUUUUACAAUAUGAUAAACCAUAGUAGCAUAGUUAACAGUUUGGUUCGUCAAAAUUAAAAAGUGAUUACUUAACUUUUGGUAGAGCGAAUAUAGCAAUUCAGCAGCCCACGCAGCAGAAUAGUUCAAGUUAGUAGCAGUCAUCCAUCCACCUUAGAUGCCACACCCAGGAGUGAACUUUGUGAGGGCAAUCUCUGAAAGAAAGGACAUCAAAAGCUUCGGUUUCAAAUAUUUGAGCUGCCUUGACGACAUGUGUUUCCUACAUGUAUGCCUUACAAUAAUUAUGUUUAUUUUUUUGCACCCCGGAUUUAUGGACAGAAUGUUGUAUAAUUAUUGUUCUUGCUUUGCCUUUUGAGUAAAUACCUUUGCUAAGAGUUGAGUCAGAUGGCUGAAUUGUAAUUAGGAAGCAUAUUACUUGGGGGCUCAUAAGCUGUCAUACCCAUUGUAGCUACACACAGGACUCCCCUUAAGAUCUAAGAGAAGCCACCACCUACUCAGUGUAGGUACAAGUUAAAGUGGUGAGCAAGAGAAAAGGGGGAAUCUCUUUGCAUAUACAUACAACAGUUUAGUAGAUGUCCUAAAGUGAUUUUGACAUUUGAAUGAAAUUAGUUUGUAUAUUUAUGUUUUAUGAUGGGUCAUGGGUUCACCUCCAAUAGGCUUAGCCCAGCAAACAGAUUAGCUCUUGCUACUGCAUAUUGAUCCAUGAAAGAAAUUUUGAACAAACUAAUCUAUUUUAAUUUUUUUAAUUGUCCAUAUCCUGGCAUACAUGAACACAGUAUGAUUUGAAGAAAAGGAUGAGACAAACAGGAUGUUAAAAUCAAUACAAGUCCUUAGGUUCCUCUGAGCCAUAAGUGAAUACUCCAUAUCCGACAUUAGCAUCAUACAGAGACCAUGACUGAAACUUUGUUAACAUGCAAUAAUAUAUAAAUGGCUGUUUUUAUAGGCAUUUUUUUUCCUACCCCUGUAUUUCCAUCCCUAUGGACUUAGGGAUGCAUGGUGAUAUUGACAGUUAUAACAAAGCAUUGAAUUGGCAGGAGAAUUUACUAUAAGAGAAGGAAGAGGGGCAAUGUGACAAUAUUAAACUGUACUGUCAGGCCUGAAUCCGAAAAUAACAUAUUUGACCUUUCUUAACUAUGUUGGAAAAAGACACCCUCUACUCUAUCUGAUCCUGGGUAAAGGUCAGAGUUCUUUUUGGAAGUUGAUGUACACAUAAUAACUUCAUAAUAUUCAAUGGACAUAAUAUUCAUGUUGAAUUACAGGGAGACAAAAGGGAAUAAGCAAAUAUAACAAAAUAACAGGAAAUGGUUC